CGUGAGGAACCUACCUCGGAGUGGGGAAUAACAGACCGAAAGGACCUGCUAAUACCGCAUGAUGCAGUUGGACCGCAUGGUCCUGACUGCCAAAGAUUUAUCGCUCUGAGAUGGCCUCGCGUCUGAUUAGCUUGUUGGCGGGGUAAUGGCCCACCAAGGCGACGAUCAGUAGCCGGACUGAGAGGUUGGCCGGCCACAUUGGGACUGAGACACGGCCCAG
rnacentral:rRNA from 1 species